AAACCCACAUUGAUGAACCUCAAAACUCACAUCAACUGCCAAAACAAUUUAACUUCUUUGUUUUCCAGCUAACCAGAGAGAUCUUUCGAGAAUAUUUUAGCGAAAUGGCAGGACUGAGGUAUGCAGGAAUGGUGGUGCUGGUGAUAGCGGCGACCAUGGCAAUGACCGAGGCCAAGACUAUAGUUGUUGGUGGAUCUGAGAACUGGCGUUUCGGCUAAAACUACACGGACUGGGCACUUAAGAACAGUCCCUUCUACAUCAACGACAAACUUGUGUUCAAGUUUGAUGCUCCCCACAACGUGUACUUGCUGCCCAACCUGUAUAGCUACAUCAAGUGCGACUUUAGGGGUGCGAAGCUUCUCGUCGAUGCAUCGAAAGGCACCGGAGAAGGGUUCGAGGUCGUGCUGAACCAAUGGAGGAGGCUCUACUACUUUGCUUCCUCUAAUGACAAGGACUGCUCCGACGGCUUGAUGAAAUUCUUCGCCAUGCCGCUUCUGCGUUGGCAGUGAAUCGGACUAAGAGUCUGGGGAAAUUUGAUUAUUUUUAUGCAAUUAUAGAAUUUGAAUAAAGUGCGGUUGAUCCUAGAGAGGUCGUGGUUGAAAUAAACAUAUGUUGUGAGGGUAUUUUGCUGUUUCUUCUAUUACUAAUGUAUUACCUGCAGUUCGCGCGGAAUGAAAUUAUAUAGUGGAUAAAUUUUGUUGUUCUUUCAUAUAAUCUGACACAGAAAAUAAUUGUAU